CGGAUGUGACGUGUCCAGACACCCGUAUGUAGGUGACGUGCGUCUAUGGUGACGUGUCUCAAUCCCGGAAUUUAUCGCAGGAGCUUCGCAAGAAUUCCUCAAAAACAUCACAAAAACAACACAAUAAGCUGAGAUGGUGACUGAUGUGCAGCUGGCCAUCUUCGCCAACAUGCUGGGGGUCUCUCUGUUCCUGCUGGUGGUCCUCUAUCAUUAUGUGGCCGUGAACAACCCCAAGAGACCGGAGUGAGGCUGUGAGAGGAGCAGGAUGACGAGGACCAGGAAACGGACGCCCGAGCAGCUUGUACAUCUGCAUUUUGUAUAAAAUUGAUGUCAAUAAAUGUUCAAAGUGAGA